AUUGAACGCUGGCGGUAGGCUUAACACAUGCAAGUCGAGCGGAAGAGAGUAGCUUGCUACAAUCUUUAGCGGCGGACGGGUGAGUAAUGCUUAGGAAUCUGCCUAUUAGUGGGGGACAACAUUCCGAAAGGAAUGCUAAUACCGCAUACGUCCUACGGGAGAAAGCAGGGGAUCUUCGGACCUUGCGCUAAUAGAUGAGCCUAAGUCGGAUUAGCUAGUUGGUGGGGUAAAGGCCUACCAAGGCGACGAUCUGUAGCGGGUCUGAGAGGAUGAUCCGCCACACUGGGACUGGGACACGGCCCAGACUCCUACGGGAGGCAGCAGUGGGGAAUAUUGGACAAUGGGGGGAACCCUGAUCCAGCCAUGCCGCGUGUGUGAAGAAGGCCUUUUGGUUGUAAAGCACUUUAAGCGAGGAGGAGGCUACUGGUAUUAAUACUACCAGCUAGUGGACGUUACUCGCAGAAUAAGCACCGGCUAACUCUGUGCCAGCCGCCGCCGUAAGAC
rnacentral:rRNA from 1 species